UGAGGAAUAUUGGUCAAUGGACGGAAGUCUGAACCAGCCAUGCCGCGUGCAGGAAGAAUGUCCUAUGGAUUGUAAACUGCUUUUAUACGGGAAGAAACGCUUAUUUGCGAAUAGGUUUGACGGUACCGUAAGAAUAAGGAUCGGCUAACUCCGUGCCAGCAGCCGCGGUAAUACGGAGGAUCCGAGCGUUAUCCGGAAUUAUUGGGUUUAAAGGGUUCGUAGGCGGGCUUGUAAGUCAGGGGUGAAAGUUAGCGGCUCAACCGUUAAAUUGCCUUUGAUACUGCUAGUCUUGAAUACUUGUGAAGUAACUAGAAUAUGUGGUGUAGCGGUGAAAUGCAUAGAUAUCACAUGGAAUACCAAUUGCGAAGGCAGGUUACUAACAUUUUAUUGACGCUGAUGAACGAAAGCGUGGGUAGCGAACAG
rnacentral:rRNA from 1 species